UACCCAUCCCUACGGAACAACUCCGGGAAACUGGAGCUAAUACCGUAUACGCCCUUCGGGGGAAAGAUUUAUCGGGGAUGGAUGAGCCCGCGUUGGAUUAACUAGUUGGUGGGGUAAAGGCCUACCAAGGCGACGAUCCAUAGCUGGUCUGAGAGGAUGAUCAGCCACAUUGGGACUGAGACACGGCCCACACUCCUACUGGAGGCAGCAGUGGGGAAUAUUGGACAAUGGGCGCAAGCCUGAUCCAGCCAUGCCGCGUGAGUGAUGAAGGUCUUAGGAUUGUAAAGCUCUUUCACCGGAGAAGAUAAUGACGGUAUCCGGAGAAGAAGCCCCGGCUAACUUCGUGCCAGCAGCCGCGGUAAUACUAAGGGGGCUAGCGUUGUUCGGAAUUACUGGGCGUAAAGCGCACGUAGGCGGAUAUUUAAGUCAGGGGUGAAAUCCCAGAGCUCAACUCUGGAACUGCCUUUGAUACUGGGUAUCUUGAGUAUGGAAGAGGUAAGUGGAAUUGCGAGUGUAGAGGUGAAAUUCGUAGAUAUUCGCAGGAACACCAGUGGCGAAGGCGGCUUACUGGUCCAUUACUGACGCUGAGGUGCGAAAGCGUGGGGAGCAAACAGGAUUAGAUACCCUGGUAGUCCACGCCGUACACGAUGAAUGUUAGCCGUCGGCAAGUUUACUUGUCGGUGGCGCAGCUAACGCAUUAAACAUUCCGCCUGGGGAGUACGGUCGCAAGAUUAAAACUCAAAGGAAUUGA
rnacentral:rRNA from 1 species